CCUCCAUAUGCUGCGAGAGCGGCCCUAGAAAAGGCAAAAAGACAAAAACAAACAAACAAACAAAAGAAUGAAGUAAUGUCAUUUGUAGCAACAUGGAUGGACUUAAAAAUGAUCAUAUUAAGUGAAGUAAGUCAGAAAGAGAACGACAAAUACUGUAUGAUGUCACUUAUAUAUGGAAUCUAAAAUACAACACAGAUGACUCACAGACAUAAAGAACAGACUUGCGGUUGCCAAAGGGGAGGGGAGAGGGGAGGAAAUGAUGGAGAGUUUGCCAUUAGCAGAUGCCAACUAUUGUAGAGAAUGGAUAAACAACAAGGUCCUGUGGUAGCACCGGGAACCAUAUUCAAUAUCCUAUGAUAAACCUAGUGGAAAAGAAUAUGAAAAAGAACAUGUGUGUGUGUGUGUGUGUGUGUGUGUGUACACAUAUAUGUAUAACUGAAUCACUUUGCUGUAUAGCAGAAAUUAAUGCCACAUUCUAAAUUAACUGUACUUCAAUAAAAGAAAAACGAAAAGAAACGCUUUGUCAGUGUCAAGGGGCAUUUUGGCAGUCCACACUGGCCUGUGCAUCAGCCAUGUAGUUUGCCUUCUGACAUAUGCUGUGAGUUUGAGAAAGAAAAAGAUAUUAGAAGAGAUUAUAUCUGCAGAUACUAAGAAAUAAAAGAUUAAGAUCCAAGGUCCUUAGGCGCUCACACCGCUUUGGUAAAGGGCUUGUGAGCUGGAAGGCACUCUUCACCCACUCUCCACUGAGCGGUCCCUCUGACCCCCAGAGGGGGCAGUGCCAGGAUUCGCUCCUCCUCAGGGUACCGCCUCAGUACCCAACUUUACGGGUCAUCCUGAGACUUCAGCGCAGUGGUGAUCUUAGUAUUUUGGAAGAUUGCUUUCUGUAAUGAGAUGUUCACAUGGGACCUUUUGUGAGUUAGCUUCAGAAUGUAAAGUGCUAACUUCUUCUACAUUCUGGUGUGAUGUCGGAUGAUACAAUCGGAACUUGUAGAGGAUGCGGUCAAAGGUUAUGCGACUCUUAGGCCAGUGUUCACCUGGAAGGUGUAAAAGUGAGCAAAGAAAAGAUUUAAAAAGUGAGAAGCAUUUUAACUGGAAAACGUUCUUGGAGAUGCAGCCUCUUGCACAUGGGGAGAGACAGGCGCUCACUCUGCCUUACUUCAGGCUGAACGACCAAUGUUUUAAGGAGCCAGGAGUCUAUAGGCACAGGGUUGAUAAUGGCCUCAUGCCUGUUAAAGCCUAAUGGGGAAAACUGUGUCUGGUAUCUGUACUGGCGACAGAUGAAGAGAGGCAGUUUUACUGGGAAAGACCUGCUCUCCCAUAGGUCUUCGGAGCCAAGAAUAUAUGCUUCUAAUGGACCAGAUGGAUCACCAGAAAAGAGGGGCUGGGAAGCACCCUAAAAGGCUUUUGCCUAAAAGGACUUUUAAAUGGGUGUUGGGACCCCAGGAAAGCAAGUCUCAUUGAGGAGUUCCCUGGUGGCUCAGUGGAUUAAGGAUAUGGUGUUGUCACUGCAGUGGGUUGGGUCACUGACUGUCUGUAAAUAACUCAUAAAUAUGCCACAAGAAGGGGUCAGCUGUGAACACCCCAUGAACCUAGUCUGUGAAUCAACUCACCAUUAUGCCCAAAGGACACCCAUGUCAGAUUACAUCAGCACUGAUAAAGAAAAACUUCUCCUGCCUUUGUUCCUCUUCAAUAUUUCGCUUCAAUCCUCAAGGAGCCAAGGCAGCCUCUGGAGGAAAAAGAGAGAAAGGCGAUUACCGACAACAAACCUAAUGAAGACCUGAUCUGAAAAAGGAAGACACUUAAACUACAAAGAAAGUUAAAUUCACGAUAAUUCCAUAGGAUUGAACUAUUAAUCACUGAACUUAGGCUGUCCAGGGAAACAUUUUUUAUUAUUGGCAAGCUAUGGAGCCAACUUGAUGUUAAAUCCUUAGAAAAGAACUAGCAUCCAGAAUAUGUCUGAAUCUGCAAUGAGCAAAGAGAUAAAAUGCCCCCUCCCUACCCCUACCACGCCACUUACAGUCUUGCUCUUUCAGUGUCUUGGUUAUACUUUUAUUGUUUGCAGGAGGAUAGCUAGAGGGUACAAAGCUCACUACAACUUAAAUUCCAUCUGUUUUCUUACCCCACCCCUACUCUAUGUAAGAUUCCCCUCUAAUAUAAUUAAAAUAGCUACUAUCAAUUACUAGAGCAUUUGCUUCAUUCCACAUACUAUGCUAAGUGCUCUAUGAAAAUAAACCAAUCUUGUUAUUAACCUGCCCGAGGCAGUGGGUAUCAUAGUCUCUUAUUACAGUUUAGGAAACGGGCUAAGAUAGGGGAAGCCCUUUAACCAAUACCACAUGACUAAUGAGUGGCAGAGUCCAGGUUUCAGCGAAAAUCUAACCAACUCAAAACUUCAUCUACCAACCAUGAGCCCACUUCCUCUGUCUCAAGCAGAUGUUAAGGAGACACUUGUAAUAAAGACUUUGUUAGUCUCUAAUUAAACUAAGUCUGGGAAAGAACUAACCUUCAGCAACUCAUUCCAGCUUAAGCUCCCAUUGCUGUAAGAGUAUCCUUUGUAAAGUAGCAGAAAUCAAUUCCUGGACAUUUCUGCUCAUUGCUGUUACUUAAUUCUGCCUUAUCAACACCACAUUAAAGUAGUGUAAAUACUUGAAUACAUGAGAAUCUUUUUGCUACAAUGGCCAUAUCUUCUUUAAAAAUAUUUUUUUCCAGUUGAACCCCCUCAGUCAUUUCUAACAUGUGUCACACUUUUAACUUGUCCUUAAAUGAUACCAGUUAAACGUAGCUUCCUUGACAAGUCUUUUCACAGUGGUACAUAGAGAGCACUUUGCUUGGUACACUGUAUUAUAGGCAAUUUAAAUGUCUAGAUGCAAUUAGACUCUAAUUGUGAAUGUUGGUUGGUUGGUUGGGUUGAUAAUUCCUCACCAGCUCCUUUUUCAAUUCAAAUUCCUUCAUCUGGGGGACCCCCCCCCCAGUUCGUUAAUGUAGCUCUAAAAUCAUUCUGAUCAUGUUCAGUCUUGACUUUGCCCCUCAAGAGAUUUGAUAUCUGUUUUCUUGUGCUGAGGGCCAUGGCCUCCACUGAGUCAUUUAAACCAUUCAUGUCUCUGCCUUCCCCUUAGUGAUCUUUUAAUUCAUCCUGAUACAGCUGAGCGUGUUUCCUUUUUGACAUUCUGCUUUAAAUAUAAUCCCACAACAUGCAAGCAGAGACGUUUCUAGACAUUUAGAAGCAGAGAGGUAGACUUCAGGUGGAAUGUUAAUGAUAGAGUCACUUUUGGUGUGUUCUUAAUUCAGAGAUAGAUUGAUUUAAAGAGAAUAUGUGAAAACAGAAAGAACGAUGAGCAGGAAGGAAGACUAAACUAGGAAAGGGUGGAUGGGGAGAGGUGCCUAAACAAUAGAGAUUAAUAAUAAUGAUUCCAGAAAAUAACUUCCGUUUACGAACUAAUUACUAUGUUCCAGACUCUGAAAAUUGCUUUACCCACAGCAUACUAUAUAAUUCUUAACACAGUGUUAAAAAGAUAAUUAUUAUUUUUCUUAUGUUACUAAGGAAACUGAGGCUUGGGGUGUUAAAUCACUUGUUACAGGUUUUAUAGGCAUUAAAUUACAGAGGUAAAGAGUUACCAUUGUGGCUCGGUGGGUUAAAAAUCCAACUAGUAUCCAUGAGGAUGCAGGUUCAAUCCCUGGCCUUUCUCAGUAGGUUAAGGAUCCGGCGUUGCCUCAAGAUGCAGUGUGGGUCAGAGAUGUUGCUUGGAUCUCAUGCGGCUCUGGCUGUGGUGCAGGCUGGCAGCUGCAGCUCUGAUUCGACCCCCAGCCCAGAAACUUCCAUAUGCCA
rnacentral:lncRNA from 1 species